rnacentral:rRNA from 1 species
GACAGAGGGUGCAAACGUUGUUCGGAAUUACUGGGCGUAAAGCGUGUGUAGGCGGCCUCGUAAGUCGGAUGUGAAAGCCCCGGGCUCAACCCGGGAAGUGCACUCGAUACUGCGAAGCUUGAGUACUGGAGAGGUUGGUGGAAUUCUCGGUGUAGAGGUGAAAUUCGUAGAUAUCGAGAGGAACACCGGUGGCGAAGGCGGCCAACUGGACAGAUACUGACGCUGAGACACGAAAGCGUGGGGAGCAAACAGG